rnacentral:rRNA from 1 species
GAUGAACGCUGGCGGCGUGCCUAAUACAUCCAAGUCGAGCGAACAGACGAGGAGCUUGCUCCUCUGACGUUAGCGGCGGACGGGUGAGUAACACGUGGAUAACCUACCUAUAAGACUGGGAUAACUUCGGGAAACCGGAGCUAAUACCGGAUAAUAUAUUGAACCGCAUGGUUCAAUAGUGAAAGACGGUUUUGCUGUCACUUAUAGAUGGAUCCGCGCUGCAUUAGCUAGUUGGUAAGGUAACGGCUUACCAAGGCAACGAUGCGUAGCCGACCUGAGAGGGUGAUCGGCCACACUGGAACUGAGACACGGUCCAGACUCCUACGGGAGGCAGCAGUAGGGAAUCUUCCGCAAUGGGCGAAAGCUUGACGGAGCAACGCCGCGUGAGUGAUGAAGGUCUUCGGAUCGUAAAACUCUGUUAUUAGGGAAGAACAAAUGUGUAAGUAACUAUGCACGUCUUGACGGUACCUAAUCAGAAAGCCACGGCUAACUACGUG